rnacentral:rRNA from 1 species
AGAGGUCCCGCCUGCCCCGUGACUAGAAGUUUAACGGCCGCGGUAUUUUAACCGUGCGAAGGUAGCGCAAUCACUUGUCUCUUAAAUGGGGACCCGUAUGAAUGGCAUGACGAGGGCUUAGCUGUCUCCUUUUUCAAGUCAAUGAAAUUGAUCUCCCCGUGCAGAAGCGGGGAUAACCACAUAAGACGAGAAGACCCUAUGGAGCUUUAGACACCAAGACAGACCAUGUUCAACACCCCUGAUCAAAGGGCUAAACUUAAUGGUUACCCGUCCUAAUGUCUUCGGUUGGGGCGACCGCGGAGAAAAACAAAACCCCCGCGUGGAAAGGGAGCACCUCUAGCUCCUACAACCAAGAGCUUCCGCUCUACUAAACAGAAAUUCUGACCUUAAGAUCCGGCAAAGCCGAUCCACGGACCAAGUUACCCUAGGGAUAACAGCGCAAUCCCCUUCUAGAGCCCAUAUCGACAAGGGGGUUUACGACCUCGAUGUUGGAUCAGGACAUCCUAAUGGUGCAGCCGCUAUUAAGGGUUCGUUUGU